rnacentral:misc_RNA from 1 species
GAAAUGCGAUAAGUAAUGUGAAUUGCAGAAUUCAGUGAAUCAUCGAAUCUUUGAACGCACAUUGCGCUCCUUGGUAUUCCGAGGAGCAUGCCUGUUCGAGCGUCAUUUCAAACCUCAAGCUUCUGCUUGGUAUUGGACCUCGUCCGCAAGGACGUGUCCGAAACUCAUAGGCAGUGGUGUCCGUCUCCCAGCGUAGUCAAUUCUAUCCGCUCCGGAGCUCAGGCACCACCCGCCAGAUGACCCCCAAAUCUUCUAUGGUUUGACCUCGGAUCAGGUAGGGAUACCCGCUGAACUUAA